GCGUCAGUAGUGCAACAGGUUAGAUCACGCGCUCCGGGACAGAGUGAGGUGUGGGUUCGAGUCCCGCCUGACGCA